rnacentral:rRNA from 1 species
CAGGAUGAACGCUGGCGGCGUGCCUAACACAUGCAAGUCGAACGGAGUUACGAGAGCUUGCUUUGUAACUUAGUGGCGGACGGGUGAGUAAUGUAUGAGCAACCUGCCUUUCAGAGGGGGACAACAGUUGGAAACGACUGCUAAUACCGCAUAAUGUGCGGGGAGGGCAUCCUCCCUGUACCAAAGGAGCAAUCCGCUGAAAGAUGGGCUCAUAUCUGAUUAGUUAGUUGGCAGGGUAACGGCCUACCAAGACUGCGAUCAGUAGCCGGACUGAGAGGUUGAACGGCCACAUUGGGACUGAGAUACGGCCCAGACUCCUACGGGAGGCAGCAGUGGGGAAUAUUGGGCAAUGGGCGAAAGCCCUGACCCAGCAACGCCGCGUGAAGGAAGAAGGUCUUCGGAUUGUAAACUUCUUUUAUGAGGGACGAAGGACGUGACGGUACCUCAUGAAUAAGCCACGGCUAACUACGUGCCAGCCGCGGC